GUUAAAGGAGACCUUUCUGAGUCUCGGAUGUCCAGUGUCUUGCUAACAUAGACCCUAUAUAAGUCAGGUAAGAGGGAACUUAAGGUGACAAAUGGUCGUCUUCCCACUUUCAGCGAUAAUCCUUUGGGGUCUGGCAACCCCCCUUUGUGAACUCAACGGGUAGUCCCUUAUCACAAGAAAUGUUUAUUGCCCAGCACAUGUUGUCUCUUUCCCAUCAUAGUGUGAAUGGAGAGAGGGGGAGGGAGAGAGUCAGGCCAUUAGGAUGUCAGAGAAAGUGGGUCAGAGGGAAAUCUGUGUGGACCUGAAGAUCGCGUCUCCUGUGAUAUAAAGAUGUUUAAAUAGGACAUGUUCCUACACAUUCAUGUUCUGUCAUUACAGAUAACCUUGUUGUCCAGAGUUGGUGACAAAAACCUCAGGGAUUGCACUACAAAGUGCAUGAACAGGUAUGUCUCUGCUGGUUUAGCACUGCAUCAGUCACACUCACCAGGAACUUCUGGCAGGUGGAAAACAUUACCACAGAGCACGCAAAGCCCUACCCACUGAAGACAAAAAUAAUUCCAGGUCUAAUGACCAAGCCCUGAGAAAACCCAAAGAUAUUACACCCAAAACAGCACCACCCUCAGGAUUAGCUAUCACACACACGCACCAAAACAACUGUUGUCCAUAUAAUUUAAUUUGAUGUGUCAUUUGAAACACUGGUAAAUCAAAGGAAUAUACCAAUUUAAAAAUGUCAAACUACAAAUACUGAAAGAUUGAGGACACUUGAUAUUUUAUAAGGUGCAGAAUUUUUGUCAAGUAGACAUCGGAAAUAUGUUGUAGUCCUUAAGUGUGGGUGGUGUCGGGGCCAGCAGAGGGAGUUUAGAUUGAGUGGAACAAAAACACAUUUUAAUGUAAAAGUUAUAGUACACAACUUCCUAUAUAACUGAUCCAAUGAUGUAAAUGACAAACUCUUGGUGCUGUUUUUAUUUCUUACAGGAAUUUAUGUCUUACAGGCUCAUGACGAAUGGAGUCAUGGCGAAAUACAACAUGCAUGGAGGGGGACAACAUGACAAACUGCCUUUUAAGUUAAAAAAGCUGUGUCAUGUGAUCAAGUCUGCUGUGAAGAGAUGGAGUGUGAAGGCCACGGACGCAGAAAUAGAAAGUAUUAUCCAGACAUCCAGAACAUCACUUGGGUAUUUUUAACUUUAUCACAGGUGAGUUUAUUUACUAUCAAAGUUUCAACCAGGUUCACCAUUCCCGUGAUAUUUUAAGUUGGCAAAAGUGAAAUUUGCUGUUGUUGUCUAUUGGACUUUUUGACCUCGAUACAGUUUGAGGAAUUGCU
rnacentral:lncRNA from 1 species